ensembl:misc_RNA
UGGCCGCAGUGGGCACCCUCUGCGUUCUGCUGAGCAGUCCAAGGGCAAGCCUGGUCCCUGGCAGGGUGUGGGAUUCUGUCCUGAGAUAGCUCCUCUCCCCUUUCCUGUCUUCCAGCCCGAGGGGCGUGUCUGUCCUGAAGGCAGGAAACUUAUCUCCUUCUGAC